CAAUACAAUUUUUUUGAAAGAAAAUUGGUUUUCAAGGUUUAUUCUUCAAUUAUUGAAAGGUUUUCAAAAGUAAAACAUACUAUUCCUCUCCACAAUCCCAGUUAAUCCAGACCCUCCUCAGUGGGCUUUAUCAAAUACCCUACUCACCUUCCUGAAUCUUUUGCUGAAUCUCAUAUAAAGUUUUGUCACAGAACCUCAGCUUUUUCAUACGGUUUUGUGUACCACGUCAUGCCUGUGAAUUGCUCUCUUUGCUUUGUUUUUAUUUAUUUAUUUAUUUUUUGUAAGAAGUAGCCAGGAAGUAUCUUUCUUUGCUUUAUAGAUGUAAACUGCUUUGUAUUUUCAGAUUAACUUUCAAGAAUGUUGAAAAUUCUUUGCUCACUCUUCUUUUCUCACUUCCUCCCUCUCAGGACCUAUAAAAGGCAUCACCAAGCCCAAUGGACAGAUGCCCCAGGCUGCACAUUCUGUCAGUGCUGUUCUGGAAAAGGCCCAAACACAUGCUGAAACAUCGAAGGAUAAGAAGCCAGCCCUCGGGAACCGGCAGGAGCACUCUGGGCCCCGCACGGCCCCAAGUCCAGCCUGCCCCGCCUCCUCUGGUGCAGAGGUCCAGGGAUACCAGCAGCAGCCCCGCCACGCCCCUCCAAGGCCAAGAACACAGGCGGCAGGGGCUUCCCCUCCCUGCCAGACUACUUCCUGCCGCCACAGCCACCACCCUUGGACGACCCAGAGCUCCCGCCGCCCCUGGACUUCGUGCUCCCUCCCCCCGCGGUCGCCAAGAGGCCUCCUAAUGCCCCACCCCCGCAAGAGACACGAAGCAUCAAUGUUCAGAAGCAGCAAAUAAAUAAAAUAAAUGAAUAAAAGUUAAACGUUC
rnacentral:lncRNA from 1 species